AUGCAAAAAACGAGAAAAUGAAAGGUUGGUGAAUGGUAAAAUAAUAUAAAAACGAGAAAAUGAAAGGUUAACUAAAUGAAAAAAAUAAUGAAAAACGAGAAAUGAAAGGUUGGUGAAUGGUAAAAUCAUGUAAAACGUGAAAAUAAAGUUUAAGUGAAAGGCAUGGAUGAAACACUGGGUAGAGUCAAGAAUAAAAAAAAAAAAAACACACGAAAAGUUGAAUAUGUAUGAAUGUCAAUGCAAGGCAAAACAAAGAAAAAUGGAAAACGAAAGAUUAAAUGAAAAGCAUGGAUGUCACAACGUGUCAUGUAAAAACUGAUGAUGAAUUAGGAACCUAGAAUUUUAAAUGAAAUGCGGAUAACAUAGGUAAAAUAAUACAGAAACAGAAUAAAAGAGAGUAAUAGAAGGUAAAUAAAGGUUAGGGACGACAGAUUGAAAAAAAUAAAAGAACAAGAAGAAACGGAAAAAUUAAAGACAAAACGAAAAACAAAACAAAGCAAGAACAAAAAAAUUAAGAGUAUGAAUGACACAUUUGGUCGAGUUAUGCAAAAAUAUGUUACAAACUGAGCAAUUCAAAUUAGGAUAACAAAAUACUCAAUGCAAGUUACGUAAAACUCUUAGUAAAGUAAUAUAUAUUAAUAUAUAGGUACUGUGAAAGGUAUGGAUGGCAGUGUGGAGUAAUGUAAGAAUGAAAGUGAAAGGUUAAAUGAAAGGUACGGAUGAUGUAUGUAAAUCAAAAAGGUUAAAGGAAUGGUCCAAAUGUGGCACUUUGUUUGAGCAAUGUAGAUAAGGAAAAUGAAAGGUUAUGUGAAUGAGAUAUGGAUGGCACCACGGGUUGAAAAAAAAAGAAAAAGAAAAUGAAAGAUUUAUUAAAAGGCAUGGAUGGCAGAAUGGGUAAUGUUUUAAUAAGAAAUAAAGAGAGAGAGAGAGUAUGGUAUGGAUGGCAUGGCAAAGUAACGUAGAAAUGCGAAAAUACAAUGCUAAACUGAAAGUGUGGAUGACUUACUGGGUAGAGCAAGAAACGGUAUAAAUGACACAUUAGGUAGAGUAUUGUAGAGUAAGGAAAAUAAGAGAAAAUGAGAGGUUGAGUAUGCAUUUCAUUGGAUAACACAAAUGGAAAAGGAGAAAAAAGAAAGGUUUGAUGAAAGGCAUAGAUGGCAACUGAGUAGGAGGAACUAAAAGUAAUGUAAAUUUUGAAAAACGGGAGAUUAAAUUAAAAGUAUGGAUGUCACACUUUGUAGAAUAAGGGGAAAGGAAGAAGAAGAAGGAAAAAAAAGUAUAGGGAGGUACAAUGGGAAUAGUAAUGCAAUAAUCGAAAGUAUGGAUUGAAGAGAUCGUGAAAGAUGAACCGAAAGGCAUAGCUGACACAGUAACAAGAAAAUGAGACGCUAAUUGCAAAGUAUAAAUGUAAGAUAUGGGUGAUAAAGGCAGCAGAGUAAUGUAAAAAUGAGAGGACGAAAUAUUUAGUGAAAGUUAUAGCUGAUGUAAUCGUGUGUAGAAUAGGAAAAGAAGAAGAAGAAGAAAGAAUGGAGAACCGAAAGGUUUAGUGACGCAAUGUAAAUAAGACAAUGAAAGGUCAAGUGAAGUAUGAAUGACAUUUAACAAGAAAAAAAGAAGAAAACGAAAGUCUGAAUGAAAGAUAUUGGUGACACAUUUGGUAGAUUAAUGCAGCAAAGGAAAACUGAUAGGUAGAUGAAAAGUAUCGAUGAAAUACUGGGUAUAGUAAGCGAAAGUUUUUAAUAGUAUACAGAUAAAUUAAGGCAUGGAUGAAGAAAUGAAAAGUCAGGUGAAAUGUAUCAACGAUUUAUUGGGUAUAGUAAAGGAGAGAUAAGAGAAUGGAAGGUUUUAAGUGAAAAUAAAUGAUGCACAGGUAGAGUAAAGUAUAUAAGGAAAUGAAAGAUUCAGUUGCAUGGCAAGCUGGGUAGAUUAAUGUAAGAUUAAAUGAAAGGUUGGAUGAAAUACAGGUAAAUAAAGGUAUAAAUAAAAGGAAAGGUUAAGUAUAAGGUAUGGAUGACACAUUCAGUACAGUAAGAAAAAGAUGAAAGGUUAAUUGCAAGUAAUGGGCGACUUUCUGGCCAGAGUAAUGUGAAAAUAAGAAAGUGAUAUGGAAGUUUAAGUAAAAUGUAUGGAAGGUAUAAUAGUUAAAGGAGUGUUAAGCUAAGAAAAUCUAAAGUUAGGUGAAAUAAUUGGGCGACAGACUAGACAGAGUAAAGAAUAAAAUGAGGGCUACUGGUGACUGAGUAAAGUAAAAAUGAGAAUAUGAAAGGUCCAGUGAAAGGUAUAAAUGACAAUGGAUAGAUAAAGGUUAGUGAAAGCCACGGAAUAUUUAUUGGGUAGAAUAAGGAAAAUGGAAGAUUGACAUAAGGAGCAGAGUGGGGAAAAGAAAAAUGAAAGGUUAACUGAAAGGCAUGGAUAAUGCACUGGGUAAUGUGAUGUAUAAAUGUAAAAAUUAAAGGCAUGGAUGACUCAUUGGUUAGGGCAAGAAAAAAAGUGGAAAAUUUACGGUCUAUUGAAGGGCAUGGAUAAACACAUUGGGUAGAGAGUAUUGUUGAGUGAGGAAAGUAGAGAAAAUGAAAGAUUGAGUAUGGCUGACAGUAGAAUUUGCGGGAAAAAGAUGAAAAUGAAAGGUUGAGUGAAAGAUAUAGAUAACAUAGUGGGUAGAAUAAUGUGAGGCUUAAUGAAAGGUAUGUGUAAUUACUGUAAAAAGAAAAAGGAAAAGAAAAACUUUAAAGAAUACUAAAGUGAAAGGUACAGAGGAAACAUUUGAUAGAGUAAUUUCUGUAAUAGUAAUGGGGAAAGAAAAAACAACAACAUGUAUAGGGGUUAAAAUGGUGAUGCAUUAAAUCAAAGUGUGAUGUAAAAAAAAAUUAAAGAAAAAGCAUGAAUGUUUUAACAAAUAUAGUAAUGUAAAAAGAUGACCGAUGUAAAAAUGGGAAAAAUGAAUGGUUAAAUGAAAAAUAUGGAUUGCAUGGAUGACACAGUAUGGAGUAAAUAUAAAAAGUAAACUAUGAAAUCUGGGUAAAUUCAUGUAAAAUUAAUAAAGUGAAAAGCUUAAGUGAAAGAUACAAGUGAUAGAAUGGAUAAAGUUAGAUAUAAUGAAGAAACUGAAAGGCUAAGUGAAAGGUAACGAUGCUAUAUGGAGUAGAUUAAUGUAGAAAUGAAAUAAAGAAGAAAGGUUGGGUGAAAGUUAUGGCUGACAGACUGGGAAACGAAAAAAAAGAAGAAAUAUAAGGUUAAAGGUAAGAUAUAGGUGACAAAGGCGGUAGAGUAAUGUAAAAAUGUGAAAAUGGAAGGUUUGAUGAAAGGUAUAGCUGAGGUGAUCAUGAGCAGAAUAAGGGAAAAAAAGAAAAUGAAAGGUGAACCGAAAGGUAUAAGUGGCACAAUGUAAAUAAGAAAAUGAAAGGUCAAGUGAAGUAUGAAUGACACUUAGCAAGAAAAAAAGAAAAAAAAAAAGAAAAGAAAAUGGAAGUCUGAAGGAAAGAUAAUGGUGACACAUUCGACAUAUUUAUGAAACAAAAUAAAAACAAUAGGGUAGAUGAAAGGUAUGGGUAGAAUAAGGCAAGAAAAAAAAAAGGUUAAGUGAACGUUUUUAAUAGCAUACGGACAGAUGAAGGUAUGGAUGAAGAAACGAAAAGUUAAAUGAAAGGUAUCAAUGAUUCAUUGGGUAUAGUAAAAGGGUAGAUAAGAGAAUGAAAGGUUUUAAGUGAAAAUAAAUGAUGCACGGGUAGAGUGAAGUGUAUAAGCAAAUGAAAGAUUAAGUUGGAUGGUAAACUGGGUAGAGUAAUGUAAGAUUAAAUGAAAGGUUGGAUGAAACACAGGCAAAUAAAGAUAUAAAUAAGAGGAAAGGUCAAAUAUAAGGUAUGGAUAACGUCUGAGUACAGUAAGAAAAAGAAAGGAAGGUUAAUUGCAAGGAGUGGGCGACUUACUGCCUAGAGUAAUGUGAUAAUUGUGUUAAAAAGGAAAUGAAAUGGAAAUAUAAGUAAAAUAUAUGAAUGACACCCUGGGUAAACAAAUGUGAAACGAAAUAAAAGUUAAGGAAUGAAUGACAGGCCAGGCAGUAAAGAAUAGAAUAAAAGCCACUGGUGAGUAAGUAAAAUAAAAAUGAGAAUAUGAAAGGUCCAGUGAAAGGCAUGAAUGACAGUGGACAGAAAAGGGAAUCAAUCAGAAAGUGAAAGGUUACUGAAAGGCACGGGAUACACAUUGGGUAGCGUAAGGAAAAGGAAAAGUUGAUAUAUUGGAUAAAGUAGGAAAAAGGGGAUGGAUGGAUUAACCACUGGGUAAAAUAUGGGAAGAAUGAAAGGGGUGAAAGGUAGAGUAUGAUGAAAAUGAGGAAGUGAAAGAUGAAAUGAAAGGUAUUGUUAAAAACAACGAGUAGACUAAUGUAAAUAACAUGUAAUAUUAAGUGAAAUAUUAAGUGAAAGGUAUGGGUGGAACUAUCAAUAGACUAAUAAUAAAAGAGAGAAAAAUGAAAGGUCAAGUCAAAGGUAUGGAUAACACAAUAAGGAAAAAAAGAAAGGGAUGAAAGGUUAAGUAGAGUAAAAUUGAGAAAAUGAAAGGUUAAGUAAAGUUGAGAAAAUGAAAGUUUAAGUAGAGUAAACUGAGAAAAUGAAAGGUUAAAUAGAGUAAAAUUGAGAAAUUGAAAGGUUAAGUAGAGUAAAACUGAGAAAAUGGAAGGUUAAGUUGAGUAAAACUGAGAAAGUGAAAGGUUAAUUAGAGUAAAUCUGAGAAAAUGAAAGGUUAAGUAGAGUAAAAUUGAGAAAAUGAAAGGUUAAGUAGAGUAAAUCUGAGAAAAUGAAAGGUGAAGUAGAGUAAAACUGAGAAAGUGAAUAGUUAAGUAGAGUAAAACUGACAAAUGAAAUGUUGAGUAGAGUAAAAUUGAGAAAAUGAAAGGUUAAGUAGAGUAAAACUGAGAAAAUGAAAGGUUAAUUUGAGUAAAAUUGAGAAAAUGAAAGGCUAAGUAGAGUAAAAUUGAGAAAGUGGAAGGUUAAGUAGAAUAAAAUUUGAGAAAGUGAAAAGUGAAAUAAAGUAAAAUUGAGAAAAUGAAAGGUUAAGUAGAGUAAAAUUGAGAAAAUGAAAGGAUAAGUAGAGUAAAUCUGAGAAAAUGAAAGGUUAAGUAGAGUAAAAUCUGAGAAAAUGAAAGGUUAAGUAGAGUAAAAUUGAGAAAUGAAAGGUUAAGUAGAGUAAAACUGAGAAAAUGAAAGGUUAAGUAGAGUAAAAUUGAGAAAAUGAAAGGUUAAGUUGAGUAAAAUUGAGAAAAUGAAAGGUUAAGUAGAGUAAAAUUGGGAAAAUGAAAGGUUAAGUAGAAUAAAAUUGAGAAAAUGAAAGGUUAAGUAGAGUAAAAUUGAGAAAAUGAAAGGUGUAGUUGAGUAAAAUUAAGAAAAUGAAAGGUUAAGUUGAGUAAAAUUGAGAAAAUGAAAGGUUAAGUAGAGUAAAACUGAGAAAAUGAAAGGUUAAGUAGAGUAAAAUUGAGAAAUGAAAGGUUAAGUAGAGUAAAAUGAGAAAUGAAAGGUUAAGUAGAGUAAAAUUGAGAAAAUGAAAGGUUAAGUUGAGUAAAAUUGAGAAAAUGAAAGGUUAAGUAGAGUAAACUGAGAAAAUGAAAGGUUAAGUAGAGUAAAACUGAGAAAAUGAAAGGUUAAGUAGAGUAAAACUGAGAAAAUGAAAGGUUAAGUAGAGUAAAUUGAGAAAAUGAAAGGUUAAGUAGAGUAAAUCUGAGAAAAUGAAAGGUUAAGUAGAGUAAAAUCUGAGAAAAUGAAAGGUUAAGUAGAGUAAAACUGAGAAAGUGAAAGGCUAGGUAGAGUAAAAUUGAGAAAAUGAAAGGUUAAAUAGAGUAAAAUUGAGAAAAUGAAAUGUUCAAUGAAAGGUGUGGAUGCGAAAAGUGUGGAUAACACAAAGGAAAAACAAGAGAAUGAAAGGGGUGAAAGGUUAAAUAGAAUAAAAUUGAUAAAAUGAAAGGUUAAGUGAAACGUGUGGAUGGAAUACAAGUAUAAAUAAGAAAAUUAAAUGUUUAAUUGAAAAGAAUGCGUCAAACUGGGCAUAAUUUUAAAAGUAAACCUGAAGUGAAAGGUAACACAAUGGAAGGCUGAAUAAAAGGUAUGAAUGACACAGUAAGCAAAGCAGGGAUAAAUGUGAAAGUGGAAUAAGCAAAAAAAAA